rnacentral:rRNA from 1 species
UGAGUAACACGUAUCCAACCUGCCGUCUACUCUUGGCCAGCCUUCUGAAAGGAAGAUUAAUCCAGGAUGGCAUCAUGAGUUCACAUGUCCGCAUGAUUAAAGGUAUUUUCCGGUAGACGAUGGGGAUGCGUUCCAUUAGAUAGUAGGCGGGGUAACGGCCCACCUAGUCAACGAUGGAUAGGGGUUCUGAGAGGAAGGUCCCCCACAUUGGAACUGAGACACGGCCCAA